rnacentral:rRNA from 1 species
AUUGAACGCUGGCGGCAGGCUUAACACAUGCAAGUCGAGCGGAGAUGAGGUGCUUGCACCUUAUCUUAGCGGCGGACGGGUGAGUAAUGCUUAGGAAUCUGCCUAUUAGUGGGGGACAACAUUCCGAAAGGAAUGCUAAUACCGCAUACGUCCUACGGGAGAAAGCAGGGGAUCUUCGGACCUUGUGCUAAUAGAUGAGCCUCAGUCGGAUUAGCUAGUUGGUGGGGUAACGGCCUACCAAGGCGACGAUCUGUAGCGGGUCUGAGAGUAUGCGCCGCCACACUAGGACUGAGAGACGGCACGGACUACUACGGGAGGGAGCGGUGGGGAAUAUUGGACGAUGAGGGGAACCCGGAUCACGCCAUGCCGCGUGUGUGAAGAAGGCCUUAUGGUUGUAGAGCACUUUAAGCGAGGAGGAGGCUACUGAGACUAAUGCUCUUGGAUAGUGGACGUUACUCGCAGAAUAAGCACCGGCUAACUCUGUGCCAGCCGCCGCGGUAAAAC